rnacentral:rRNA from 1 species
UUGCUAUAAUUGUCAGCUAAGUGGCGCACGGGUGAGUAAUGUAUAGAUAACCUGCCCUUAAGAAAGGAAUAACAGUUGGAAACGACUGCUAAUGCCCUAUAUGCCUUUAAUACAUAAGUAUGCAAGGGAAACGCUUUAGUGCUUAAGGAUGGGUCUGUAUGGUAUCAGCUUGUUGGUGAGGUAAUGGCUCACCAAGGCUAUGACGCCUAACUGGUUUGAGAGGAUGAUCAGUCACACUGGAACUGAGACACGGUCCAGACUCCUACGGGAGGCAGCAGUGGGGAAUAUUGCACAAUGGACGAAAGUCUGAUGCAGCAACGCCGCGUGGAGGAUGACACAUUUCGGUGCGUAAACUCCUUUUAUAUAGGAAGAUAAUGACGGUACUAUAUGAAUAAGCACCGGCUAACUCCGUGCCAGCAGCCGCGGUAAUACGGAGGGUGCAAGCGUUACUCGGAAUCACUGGGCGUAAAGAGCGUGUAGGCGGGUAUAUAAGUCAGAAGUGAAAUCCAAUAGCUCAACUAUUGAACUGCUUUUGAAACUGUAUACCUAGAAUGUGGGAGAGGUAGAUGGAAUUUCUGGUGUAGGGGUAAAAUCCGUAGA